GUUCACAUACAGUAGGUGACAUCCCCAAGCAGGGAUGACGGGGAGGAACUUCCGGCUCCCGGGGAGUUGAGGUUGGUGUUCUGUAAGGGUGAUCAGUGUUUGCUGGUGUAGGUGACUCCCUGAGCUGGGUGUGUGUGUGUCACAAUCCCUGGCUGAGGGGAUCUGAACUCGGCCUCUGGUCCCCAGACGCGGAAGGUACAGUGAACGGGCUGCUGUGCUGAACUCCACGCCGGCUGCCGAUUCUCACCCACACCACAGACCAUGGUGCUCUCUAUCAUCUUGGUUGGAGUUGCGCUCAGAUUUGAGUUGAUGCCCUGGCCACCGUGUGGAGAACAGAUGUGGAUCUGAGGUGGGUUCUGGCCAGGGAGGCCAGCGGCUGCUUUAGCUCCCAGCUGCACUGAAAACCAGCCCCAAGACCAGCUCACACCAGGACUGCAGGUGCUGACUCCCCAGAUGUGAAGGUGGGGGUGAGAAGGGAGUGUCACAUAACUAAAGGAUGAAAAUCAUGCC
rnacentral:lncRNA from 1 species